rnacentral:rRNA from 1 species
AUUGAACGCUGGCGGAAUGCUUUACACAUGCAAGUCGAACGGCAGCACGGGGGCAACCCUGGUGGCGAGUGGCGAACGGGUGAGUAAUACAUAGGAACGUGCCCAGUCGUGGGGGAUAACUACGCGAAAGCGUAGCUAAUACCGCAUACGAACUCUGGUUGAAAGCGGGGGAUCGCAAGACCUCGCGCGAUUGGAGCGGCCGAUGGCAGAUUAGGUAGUUGGUGGGGUAAAGGCUCACCAAGCCGACGAUCUGUAGCUGGUCUGAGAGGACGACCAGCCACACUGGGACUGAGACACGGCCCAGACUCCUACGGGAGGCAGCAGUGGGGAAUUUUGGACAAUGGGCGCAAGCCUGAUCCAGCCAUUCCGCGUGCAGGAUGAAGGCCCUCGGGUUGUAAACUGCUUUUGUACGGAACGAAACGCGCCGGGUUAAUACCUCGGCGUAAUGACGGUACCGUAAGAAUAAGCACCGGCUAACUACGUGCCAGCCGCCGCCGUAACAC